GACGAACGCUGGCGGCGUGCUUAACACAUGCAAGUCGAACGGAAAGGCCCUGCUUUUGUGGGGUGCUCGAGUGGCGAACGGGUGAGUAACACGUGAGUAACCUGCCCUUGACUUUGGGAUAACUUCAGGAAACUGGGGCUAAUACCGGAUAGGAGCUCCUGCUGCAUGGUGGGGGUUGGAAAGUUUCGGCGGUUGGGGAUGGACUCGCGGCUUAUCAGCUUGUUGGUGGGGUAGUGGCUUACCAAGGCUUUGACGGGUAGCCGGCCUGAGAGGGUGACCGGCCACAUUGGGACUGAGAUACGGCCCAAACUCCUACGGGAGGCAACGGUGGGGGAUAUUGCACAAUGGGCGGAAGCCUGAUGCAGCAACGCCGCGUGCGGGAUGACGGCCUUCGGGUUGUAAACCGCUUUCGCCUGUGACGAAGCGUGAGUGACGGUAAUGGGUAAAGAAGCACCGGCUAACUACGUG
rnacentral:rRNA from 1 species